rnacentral:lncRNA from 1 species
GAAGGGAACUCUCGCAUUGUCCUUCAAAAAUAAAUCUCCCCCUGAUAAAAGAACCAUGCAUCCCAACAGACUUAAGACCUAACUUAUUUUAUCCCUCACACACACAUAUAUUUUAUUUCACAUCACAGAGCCAAUUUCUCUCUCACCCAUUAAUUUACUAUCCAACCUAACACAACUAAGGAAUAAUAUCCCUGUCUCUGCCAUCUACACUUAUAUGCCAUUCAUAAAUUUUCUCUUUCUUUUUCUUAUUCACGUAGCAGAUGAAACCAAUAUGAAACCUCUGCAUGUAACCCAAACUUCACGUCACUCUCCAAAGGCCAACAUUCACAGUAGCACCCACACACCAGUUUACUUUUCCAAACAACAACCCCUUCCUUCCUCUCUCUACUUUUANGNAGCCAUUACUAGAAACACAUCCCCCACUCUCUNUCUUAUAUUUUUCUUNCUUGCNUAACAACACCCAGCGCACAUAUUUUANCACACCCAGAAUCUACCCCACUCACACUUUAUUCUCAACCAAAGCUCUUCCAAAAUCACCCCAAAUAUCCUACCCAAGAAUUUCCAAGUCCACUCUCGGUUUAGAGAGUGUUGAAUCCAGUUUAUCACGUACCCAACC